rnacentral:rRNA from 1 species
UCAGGACGAACGCUGGCGGCGUGCUUAACACAUGCAAGUCGAGCGGUAAGGCCCUUUCGGGGGUACACGAGCGGCGAACGGGUGAGUAACACGUGGGUGAUCUGCCCUGCACUUCGGGAUAAGCCUGGGAAACUGGGUCUAAUACCGGAUAUGACCAAAGGCUGCAUGGCUUUUGGUGGAAAGGUUUACUGGUGCAGGAUGGGCCCGCGGCCUAUCAGCUUGUUGGUGGGGUAAUGGCCUACCAAGGCGACGACGGGUAGCCGACCUGAGAGGGUGACCGGCCACACUGGGACUGAGACACGGCCCAGACUCCUACGGGAGGCAGCAGUGGGGAAUAUUGCACAAUGGGCGAAAGCCUGAUGCAGCGACGCCGCGUGAGGGAUGACGGCCUUCGGGUUGUAAACCUCUUUCAGCAGGGACGAAGCGAAAGUGACGGUACCUGCAGAAGAAGCACCGGCCAACUACGUGCCAGCAGCCGCGGUAAUACGUAGGGUGCGAGCGUUGUCCGGAAUUACUGGGCGUAAAGAGCUCGUAGGCGGUUUGUCGCGUCGUCUGUGAAAACCAGCAGCUCAACUGCUGGCUUGCAGGCGAUACGGGCAGACUUGAGUACUGCAGGGGAGACUGGAAUUCCUGGUGUAGCGGUGAAAUGCGCAGAUAUCAGGAGGAACACCGGUGGCGAAGGCGGGUCUCUGGGCAGUAACUGAC